GGAGGGAUGGCCGAGUGGUUGAAGGCGGCGGUCUUGAAAGCCGCUUACCCCAAAAGGGGACGGGGGUUCGAAUCCCUCUCCCUCCGCCA
rnacentral:tRNA from 1 species